GAGUUUGAUCCUGGCUCAGAUUGAACGCUGGCGGCAUGCCUUACACAUGCAAGUCGAACGGCAGCACGGGAGCUUGCUCCUGGUGGCGAGUGGCGAACGGGUGAGUAAUGCAUCGGAACGUAUCCUGGAGUGGGGGAUAACGUAGCGAAAGUUACGCUAAUACCGCAUAUUCUGUGAGCAGGAAAGCGGGGGACCUUCGGGCCUCGCGCUCUUGGAGCGGCCGAUGUCGGAUUAGCUAGUUGGUGAGGUAAAGGCUCACCAAGGCGACGAUCCGUAGCAGGUCUGAGAGGAUGAUCUGCCACACUGGAACUGAGACACGGUCCAGACUCCUACGGGAGGCAGCAGUGGGGAAUUUUGGACAAUGGGGGCAACCCUGAUCCAGCCAUGCCGCGUGAGUGAAGGAGGCC
rnacentral:rRNA from 1 species